ACUUACUAGCUUUCAAGUAAGGUAACAUCUCAGACCAUCACAGGUUUUGACAGGGGAAACUCUGAAGGACCACAGGAGUUGGAGGUUCCACGUAUCUCUAAGUAGUAACAUACGAUGGGUCCAAAACAGAAGAAAGAGAACUCAAGAUUCCCGAGCCACAGAGCUGUUGAUUGGAGGCUGACUCAGAGAAACCCUGGAUUCAGUGACAUACAGAGACAACAAGUGGGUGCACCAGCCCCUUUCCUUGACAGGCUCCCAGCAUUUUGUCUGUAGGUUUGCAACUUCCCAGGCAACAAAUUAAUAGAAAAAAAAAAAUCUUCCAUCUGAGGAAAUUAACAAGCCAAAGUAAAAAGACCUGGAAAUACUAAUAAGCAGUACUUCUCUGAAAUUCCCAGUUUUCAUCCUAGUAUGAGGCCCAUAGAGAACUUCCAACCAGCCAGGAGUGCUUCAUAUCUACUUAUUCAUGAGAGGCCAGUAGGGAAAUGCUCUAUCAUGAAUGAUGUACUCCAAAACAAACAGAAGCAAUGUAAGACCAGAAGAAAACUUCCAGAAACUAUGGUUAAGAUCCUCCAAAAGAAAAAAAAAAGUUACUGGUUCAUUGAAAUAACAGGAGGAUGCUGUAAAAAAGAAACAUCCUAAGUAUUAGAAAGAUCCUUCAGAAAUUUAAAAAAAAAAUCAGUAGUUGGAAGGUAAAUUUGAAGGGAUUUCCCAAAAACCAGCAUAAAACCAAACAGAGAAGUCUUAUAAAAGAGAAAAGUAAUAAAAGAAUUAUCAAAGAAAUAAUACCAAACAAUCUCAAUAAUCAAAUGACUUUACAUAUAGUUAAGACUUGCCUAGUCCAUGGCAUAGGAAAAGAAAAUCAGAAAUACUACCAUUUGAAAUUCCAGAAUAAAAGGGGGAAGACCUUUCUGGUUGUGGCUGAGGAUAAAGGGGGUUGGGGCAAGAAGCAGCUCACAAUCAGACUGACCUAAGGAAAGAUGGCCCAGAACUCACCCACAAGCAGUGGAUCAAUGUUUGCACAACUCUCAGGGGAAAUUAUUUUCUACCCAUUCACAAAGUUAUCUUCCAUGCAACAUUCCUCAGAAGAUUCCUGGAGAAUAUUCUCCACCAAAGGACUUAAUCGCCUUCUGGACAAACAUAAUCUAUGCGACCUCCUCCCCAAAAGGUACAGGAUCAGUAUGGGUUUUAAUUGAGGGGCUCGGCACCAAAUGACAGACUUGACACAUCCACCCCCACCAUGGAUGCUGUCCGUCCGCUGUUGCACAACAUCCUUCAGUGUCUAAUUUACAGAUCCAGCUGUAUUUCCCCUUCCACCUGCAUCCCUGAAGUUCCUCCCACCUGAAAACUUCACCUGACCCAAGAAAGGAAAGGAAAAAACCCGGAGAGCCAGCUCAUGGUCUGGUUCACUGUUUAACAGCCAGAAGCCAGAGCCUGCAUACCAGAAGUGGAUGCCCAGGAAGUACUUGUGAGCUGACUAAGAAUGUAAGAACACCACCCACUUCAUUCAGGAAAGUGAGGCAGGAUUCCAUGCAGUGUGAAUGACUGCACAUGGAACAAGCAGGUUAUCAUUUAUAUUCAGUAAGGGACCUCCAUGGACAGGACAUUUGGGGAGCUGCUAUCAAACAUCAGAACUUCUGACACUGUGCACACAGUCUUAUAUUGUGCCUUGUCUGUUGUGAUGUCUCACUACAGUAAUGAUUAAGAUGAUGAGCACUUA